rnacentral:rRNA from 1 species
GACAGGAGGUCCCGAGCGUUAGGCGGAAUCACUGGGCUUAAAGCGUGUGUAGGCGGCGGCCUAAGUACCUUGUGAAAUCCCACGGCUCACCCGUGGAACUGCUCGGUAUACUGGGUCGCUUGAGCCACUUAGGGGCUACCGGAACAAAUGGUGGAGCGGUGAAAUGCGUAGAUAUCAUUUGGAACGCCAUGGUGAAAACAGGUAGCUGGGAGUGUGCUGACGCUGAGACACGAAAGCCAGGGGAGCAAACGGG